rnacentral:lncRNA from 1 species
AACAACUUGAAUAUGAUGAUUACGAACAAGCGCAGCUAUCUUUGGAGAGGUAAUGCACCUACUGAUAUCCCGUGAUAAGAACUUGGGAGAGAUUUAGUGAAAACCUGGAGAACGGCCACUUAGCUCACAAAUCUGAGCUGUUCACAUCAAGCUGAUAUUUGUGACAGCCAUUAUAGCUUUAAUCAUUUUCUCGAUUGAUCAAAGCACCACAGACUGCAUCGUUCGUCACCUCUGCCUUUAAGCGCGUUAUCACCUACUCCAAUAAGCCACCCCAAUAUCCUUAAUAAGCAAUAGAAGUUCUUAUCGACUGUGUAUGACUCAUUAAUAUCCAUGUUCUGUAUAAAUUUAUGUGAUAGGCCUACUGGUAUUAAUGUUGAUGUACCGUAAUGUUUUUUGCUCAUGUAUAAUUGAUAAUAAUACAUUAAAAAUAAAUAUAAUGUUAAAUUAUUA